rnacentral:rRNA from 1 species
UACGUAGGGUGCAAGCGUUAAUCGGAAUUACUGGGCGUAAAGCGUGCGCAGGCGGUGAUGUAAGACAGAUGUGAAAUCCCCGGGCUCAACCUGGGAACUGCAUUUGUGACUGCAUCGCUGGAGUGCGGCAGAGGGGGGUGGAAUUCCACGUGUAGCAGUGAAAUGCGUAGAUAUGUGGAGGAACACCGAUGGCGAAGGCAGGUCUCUGGGCAUUAACUGACGCUGAGGAGCGAAAGCAUGGGGAGCGAACAGG